rnacentral:rRNA from 1 species
UACACUCCUACGGGAGGCAGCAGUGGGGAAUUUUGGACAAUGGGCGAAAGCCUGAUCCAGCCAUGCCGCGUGCAGGAUGAAGGCCUUCGGGUUGUAAACUGCUUUUGUACGGAACGAAACGGCCUUUUCUAAUAAAGAGGGCUAAUGACGGUACCGUAAGAAUAAGCACCGGCUAACUACGUGCCAGCAGCCGCGGUAAUACGUAGGGUGCAAGCGUUAAUCGGAAUUACUGGGCGUAAAGCGUGCGCAGGCGGUUAUGUAAGACAGUUGUGAAAUCCCCGGGCUCAACCUGGGAACUGCAUCUGUGACUGCAUAGCUAGAGUACGGUAGAGGGGGAUGGAAUUCCGCGUGUAGCAGUGAAAUGCGUAGAUAUGCGGAGGAACACCGAUGGCGAAGGCAAUCCCCUGGACCUGUACUGACGCUCAUGCACGAAAGCGUGGGGAGCAAACAGGAUUAGAAACCCCAGUAGUCCCAUGA